UACAGAGGGUGCAAGCGUUGUUCGGAAUCAUUGGGCGUAAAGCGCGUGUAGGCGGUCCGGUAAGUCCGCUGUGAAAGUCGGGGGCUCAACCCUCGGAUGCCGGUGGAUACUGUCGGGCUCGAGUCCGGAAGAGGAGUGUGGAAUUCCUGGUGUAGCGGUGAAAUGCGCAGAUAUCAGGAAGAACACCAAUGGCGAAGGCAGCUCUCUGGGACGGUACUGACGCUGAGACGCGAAAGCGUGGGGAGCGAACAGG
rnacentral:rRNA from 1 species